CUGGGGGGAGAGGGGCCCUCAGCCUGGAUUGUGAGAGGGCACAGGCCAGGCCGAGGUACCCCACUGGUGCACA
rnacentral:pre_miRNA from 1 species